CCCCUAGAUGUUCUGGGCCGCACGCGCGCUACACUGAACAGUUCAACGAGCUUAUAACCUUGGCCGAAAGGUCUGGGUAAUCUCCAAAUUUCGUCGUGAUGGGGAUAGAUUAUUGCAAUUAUUAAUCUUCAACGAGGAAUGCCUAGUAAGCGCAAGUCAUCAGCUUGCGUUGAUUACGUCCCUGCCCUUUGUACACACCGCCCGUCGCUCCUACCGAUUGAAUGGUCCGGUGAAGCGUUCGGACCGUGGCCUUUGGACGGUUCGCCGUCUGUUGGCUGCGGGAAGUUCGUUAAACCUUAUCAUUUAGAGGAAGGAGAAGUCGUAACA
rnacentral:rRNA from 1 species